ensembl:lncRNA
AUUUUUCAUUAUGGUGCUUUGUGUGUAGAUUGAGAAUGUUUUUAUUUAAUCUGAGUCUGAAUACUUUCUGUGUGUGUGUGUGUGUGUGUAGAUUAUUUAUAAAGCCAGUCACAUUUAGCAGGUAGUCAAUUGAUUAUAGACCUAAUUAAGUUGGGGUUUCCUCUCCUAAUUUUCCUUAGACAAUUAAGGCAAUGGCUGUUUUCACGUCUCCUCACUUUCCUUAGACAAUAAGGUGAGGGCUGUUUCCUCUCUCAUCACUUUCCGUAGACAGUAAGGUGAGGGCUGUUUCCUCUCUCCUCACUUUCCUUAGACAAUAAGGUGAGGGCUGUUUCCUCUCUACUCACUUUUCUUAGACAAUAAGGUGAGAGCUGUUUCCUCUCUCCUCACUUUCCUUAGACAAUAAGGUGAGGGCUGUUUCCUCUCUCAUCACUUUCUGUAGACAAGGUGAGGGCUGUUUCCUCUCUCCUCACAUUUCUUAGACAAUUAAGGCAAUGGCUGUUUUCACGUCUCCUAACUCUGCCGCAUUGUUCGCCACACCAAUAUGCUGGUUAACUUUGCUCUUAUUCAUAUAGCAACAUGGUCUAGGAAAAGGUGCCAAUUCAACAGCGCAAUGUUCCAGAACCCUGGACAGUGACCGCUGUCUGGCGCGGGAGAAAGUGAAUUUGUUAUCAAACAAUGUUAUUUUUAUUGGUGUUGCGCCAUUGUUCUUACAAAAUAUAACAAUAUACAAUUUCAGUAGCACAUGUCUUAGAGUGAUGGACUGUGCCAUCCCCACAGCCUCCACAAUGGAGUAGUUCACUUACACACUUUUUUCUUUUGCUCGACCGAAGAAAUCUCGGUCUACCAACAGCCUAUCAAUCAACCAGUCGAAUAAGUGGGGGCAGCUCUAAUCCACAUAUAGAUGACAUUUACAAUUUAACAGAUUGACCAAUAGCAUUUAUGUAAAUAUUGAGAAGAACAGGUUCUAGUAUUGUCCCCUGUGGAACACCUUUAUGUAUUUCAAGAAUUUCGGACUUGACCCCAUCAAUCACCAUGGCCUUAGUUCCGUCACUAAGAUGUUCAUGAAAGCAUGAACAGGUGUCAGAGCUCAGGCCUAUCGAGGACAACUUAUUCAAUAACAUAGCAUGAUCAACCGUAUCAAAAGCUUUUGACAGGUCCACAAACAAAGCAGCACAUUUAAUUUUAGAGUCUAAAGCAUUGACAACCAAAGUGGCUGCUCUAAUAGUGCUAUGACCAGGCCUAAACCCUGAUUUGGUUUACAUUCUAAAUACAUUUCUCAGAUUAAAAAAAGGGCAAAGUUGUACAUUUACCAAUGAUUCAAGAAUCUUAGCUAGACAAAGAAGCGUUGAAAUUGGGCACUAAUUAUUUUUGAUCACUACUAUCCCCACCCUUAUGGAGUUGGCAGCACGAGAUGAUUUCCAUACUUUUGGAAUUUGUCCUGACAACAAUGUUAAACAAAAAAUGUGGGUUAUUGAGCCAACAAUGAUGGGCGCAGCACAAUUAAAUGAUUUGAUACUGAGAGGGCUACAUUGGACCUUUUUAACUAAAGGUGAUUGCUUUACCGUAACAUUCUAGAGGUGGGGGACUUGGUCAAAUUCCUUUCAACCUCAAAAGGACUGGACUGCUGUCUUCCAGCACCGAGGCGGGCCCUUUCCCCUGAGCAUGGAGUUUUCCCAAACUUCCUCUAUUUCGAAUCAAGUAUCAGGAUUUCAUGGUUUUUGACCCUACUCAUGGUUCGUUAGAUUGUUCAGCUACUUUGUGUAAAGUGUAAAACGGACACAUUUUUCUCGCUCUUGGAUUAACAUGUAUGAGUUUCUCUUCCUUUGAUCCACUGAUUGAAUCGUGAUAAGUAUUUAUGAAGUGAAGUUGGGUAGGCUUCGAAGGCUGAAAGAGAAUUAGCAUUAGAAAAAGUAAUUGUCCAUUAGGUUUGCACAAAAUGGAAAAUUUGCUUUGGCGCUCUUGGCAUUGAACGGAUAAAAAAAAUCUACAUAAAAACUUAAGGAUAAAAACACAUAAAAAUGCACAUUCCACACUGAGCUUUUCCAUGUCUGUUCACCAUAGAGGAUCGUCACUGCAGGGGGGAUGAAGGAUUGUUUUGUAAACUUUUUUUUUUUUUUUUGCAUGUGGCACCUUUAAUCUCCGACCGGGCGGCAGCAUGUUGAAGGGUGCGUGCUGUGGGUGGGUGUUUUCGUUGUGGACCUAGAGUUUUCCUUUUAUAGUGUUCUAUAUCUGGAAUAAGUCGAGGAGUAUGUAUACCUUCUGAAGGAAUUGUCGGUCACAAAGGCAUAUCAGUAGCAGGUGAGGUUGCACUGUGUUAAAGGCUGAGAAACUUCAUUAAUAAGAUCCUGACAUUAUCUUCUCACCUUAGGUGACUUCACUCCUACGUGAUGCUCGUCCCUCAACAGGUCUGUCUUGUAGGACAUGGAACUUUAAACAUUUAGAUUUUACUCAUCCGCCCAACACUAGUUCCUGAUUCUUAAAAUCACUCCGCUCUCAGUAGCUAAUAUGCGCUGGCUACUGCGGCAGACCAUGUUUGAUCAGCUGAGCAAGAGGGGAGGAGACAAAGCCAAAAUCUGUCCAAAAUAAGCAAUUCUAUGGUCUUAUUUUUUGAACCCUUAUUUUACCAUGUAAGUUGACUGAGAAUACAUUCACAUUUACAGCAAUGACCUAUGUAAUAGUUACAGGGGAGAGGAGGGGGGAUGAAUGACCCAAUUGUAAGCUGGGGAUGAUUAGGUGACCGUUUAUGGUAUGAGGGCCAGAUUGGGAAUUUAGCCAAGACACAGGAGUUAACACCCCUACUCUUACAAUAAGUGCCAUGGGAUCUUUAAUGACCACAGAGUCAGGACCCCCGUUUAACGUCCCAUCCGAAAGACUGCACCCUACACAGGGAAAGGUUCAGGCUCCUACUUGCUGUGUUAAAAAAAGUCAAGUGACACUGACUAGCACCUGUUGUCUCCCUCUCCUCCCUGCUGCAGCGACCACCACAGAACUUCAACAGUGUUUAUCAUGCUGUCCGUGUUGUUGAAGCUGCAACAUAACUACAGCCAUUUCUGACUGAAAAGUCCUGUUACCGAAAUCCCACAUUUGUUUCGGAAAAACAUUCCCUAUUCCCUCAACGCCUGUUCUCUUUACUUGUAUGCAUCGCAUCCAUGUGACCAAUAGGGCCCGGCCUAUAGCAUCUCAUAAUCAAAUCAAUAAAUUGGUUAUAACAAACUCUGAAAAUAAAAGAGAGCCGCACACUCUAGGAGCUCAGAUGCAAAAAUGUAAUUACCAACGUUUCGACAGCCAAGCUAUCUUCAUCAGGGUAUAUAACAAACUCUGAACACGUGACCGCAACAUGGAUGCAGAGGACAUGACCAAUAAAGUUGAAACGGUAAUGUUUACUGGUUGCGCAGGGAGGUUAAAGGGAAGUCUGAUGUGUGGAGUAAAUGUGACUAAGUUGUGUAAAAUACUAGAGUGCUGUUGGACCAUUUUGGUACCAUGUAAACAACACUAAAUAUAUUAGAAGUGUACUAGAGAGUAAAGUUUUUUGGGGUUUUGUAAAGCCUUUAUUACAGCAAAGAUUAAACCAUCACAUUCAUUUGUGAAUGCAAUUUCCCAAAAGGAAAUGGUUCAUUAUUUACGGUAAUUAUUUUGCAUUUCAAAUCAUGAAUGACUCGUAUGCUCUGUGAUGACUUUAACGAUGAUGAUGAUAACAUAAGGAGAUCAAGAAGAAAGAAGCAUUGUUAUUAUGAAUAUUGUUUUUCUGAAAAUUUGGAACAGAGUAAACUACAUUAAAUAAUACCAGCAGCUGUUUUAAUGAAAAAAGUCUGAAGCCUUUAUAGCAGCAUAGCAAAGACUAAAAACAGACCAUUUUGUAAAAUGGUUUAAUCUGACAUGUUGUGUGAUGCUUAGUGCUCACGGAAUCAGUAGGCUAUUAAACAAACACUCAAAAAGAAGCAGGAUCUGUCGAUGAAUAUGGAUGAUUUAUAAAGCCAAGCACAUUUAACAGUUAGGCUAUUGAUUAUAGACCUAAUUAAGUUGGUCUCCUCUCUACUCACUUUUUAUAUACUAUUAUAGAGAAUUUAUAGACUAUUAUAGAGAAUUAAGGCAAGAGCUGUAUUCUUGCCUCCGCCACGUUGUUCUCAACACCAACAUGCUGGUUAACUUUGCUACUGUGCACAUAGUGGUUGCUCAAUGAAAAGUGUUGUGAUUAUACUGCUGGAGGUCAUUUGUGGUUUAGUACAGUACCCUGCAUCACUGCUUCAUUUCUCCAGACCAGUGCAAGGGGGAGUUAGAGCACUGAUUUAUGAUUUUGGGUCCCAAGGCUCUACUGUGGCUCUAACUGACAAUGAAUGGGCGUUCUAAACCAAGUAGAAACUGAUAAUUGUGCACUACUUCAAAAUUGAAUUUCAAUUAACUGAAUGAUGAGGAUGAAGAAGGUGAUUGAAUUUAAAACAAUAGUGUAAGAAUUGCUAUUCUUAUGUUCUGCACGCGCACACCUGGAAAAAUACACACUUUUGUUGUUUCUACUUGUCAGUAUUAUUUAGUAAAACUGUUGUUAUCCUGUUUUUAUUCUAAGAGAAAUGAAAAUUCCAUGAUAUUCUUAAGAUAUGUGUUGACUGAAUAUAAUCAAGUUGAUGCCGCAGUCAUAUAGCCUCGGCACCUACAUCAAGCUGAGUGACUCAGUCAUAUAGCCUCGGCACCUACAUCAAGUUGAUGCCGCAGUC